AUGGAUUCCUCCUCUGGGAAAAAUGUUGUGUCCACACCUGAAAACUCCUUCCAGUUGGCAAUGCAGAAAGCUUACUCUGAUCGUGGGCAAGGAAGGGGGACUCACAGCUUGGAAGAAGGUAGAAGAACUCAGCUGCUAGGGAAGUACUUCACUCUUCAUUAUACUGGCCGAGUAAAAGGGGAAUGUAUCAGCAGCACCUUACUUCUAAAGCUACACGUAAGUGAACUGAAUGCUGACCUUAUAUUUCUUCUCUGUAUGAUCACUGCUCAGGACAUAGAUGCUGUUUUCUAUUUGCAGAUAGCUUUUUAUGUGAAUCAUCUGACUUGUUGACUGAAUCAAGGAACUUGUAACAGUUCCUUGACCACAUGCUUUCUCUUUCCCCCUCCUAUGUCUCUCCAUGCUCUG
rnacentral:lncRNA from 1 species